AACGAACGCUGGCGGCAGGCUUAACACAUGCAAGUCGAGCGCCCCGCAAGGGGAGCGGCAGACGGGUGAGUAACGCGUGGGAAUCUACCCAACCCUACGGAAUAGCUCCGGGAAACUGGAAUUAAUACCGUAUACGCCCUACGGGGGAAAGAUUUAUCGGGGAUGGAUGAGCCCGCGUUGGAUUAGCUAGUUGGUGGGGUAAAGGCCUACCAAGGCGACGAUCCAUAGCUGGUCUGAGAGGAUGAUCAGCCACAUUGGGACUGAGACACGGCCCAAACUCCUACGGGAGGCAGCAGUGGGGAAUAUUGGACAAUGGGGGCAACCCUGAUCCAGCCAUACCGCGUGAGUGAUGAAGGCCUUAGGGUUGUAAAGCUCUUUCACCGGGGAAGAUAAUGACGGUACCCGGAGAAGAAGCCCCGGCUAACUUCGUGCCAGCCGCCGCAGUAACAC
rnacentral:rRNA from 1 species